GAACGGGUGAGUAACACGUGGGCAACCUGCCCUUCACUCUGGGAUAACCCCGGGAAACCGGGGCUAAUACCGGAUACGACCCCUGCAGGCAUCUGCGGGGGUGGAAAGUUUUUCGGUGAAGGAUGGGCCCGCGGCCUAUCAGCUUGUUGGUGAGGUAGUGGCUCACCAAGGCGACGACGGGUAGCCGGCCUGAGAGGGCGACCGGCCACACUGGGACUGAGACACGGCCCAGACUCC
rnacentral:rRNA from 1 species